GGUGGGGGAUGGACUCGCGGCCUAUCAGCUUGUUGGUGGGGUAAUGGCCUACCAAGGCGACGACGGGUAGCCGGCCUGAGAGGGCGACCGGCCACACUGGGACUGAGAUACGGCCCAGACUCCUACGGGAGGCAGCAGUGGGGAAUAUUGCACAAUGGGCGCAAGCCUGAUGCAGCGACGCCGCGUGGGGGAUGAAGGCCUUCGGGUUGUAAACCCCUUUCAGCAGGGAAGAAGCGAGAGUGACGGUACCUGCAGAAGAAGCGCCGGCUAACUACGUGCCAGCAGCCGCGGUAAUACGUAGGGCGCAAGCGUUGUCCGGAAUUAUUGGGCGUAAAGAGCUCGUAGGCGGUUUGUCGCGUCUGGUGUGAAAACUCAAGGCUCAACCUUGAGCUUGCACCGGGUACGGGCAGACUAGAGUGCGGUAGG
rnacentral:rRNA from 2 species